rnacentral:rRNA from 1 species
AUGAACGUUGGCGGCGUGGAUUAGGCAUGCAAGUCGAGCGAGAACCCCGCAAGGGGGGACAGCGGCGCAAGGGACAGUAAUGUGUAGAUCAUCUGCCCUCAGGUCCGGGAUAGCUGCGGGAAACUGCAGGUAAUACCGGAUGACAUCUCCGGAUCAAAGGUGUGAUUCCGCCUGAGGAUGAGUCUACAUCCUAUUAGCUAGUUGGUAGGGUAACGGCCUACCAAGGCUUUGAUGGGUAGCGGGUGUGAGAGCACGACCCGCGUCAUUGGGACUGAGACACUGCCCAGACACCUACGGGUGGCUGCAGUCGAGAAUCUUCGGCAAUGGGCGCAAGCCUGACCGAGCGACGCCGCGUGUGGGAUGAAGGCCUUCGGGUUGUAAACCACUGUCAGAGGGGAUGAAAUGCAGGUGGGUUCUCCCAUCUGUUUGACAUAGCCUCAGAGGAAGGACGGGCUAAGUUCGU